CACGGUAGGGGGCGAGCGUUGUCCGGAUUUAUUGGGCGUAAAGAGCUCGUAGGCGGUUCGGCAAGUCGGGUGUGAAAUUUCGAGGCUCAACCUCGAAACGCCACUCGAUACUGCUGUGACUGGAGUCCGGUAGAGGAGUGCGGAAUUCCUGGUGUAGCGGUGAAAUGCGCAGAUAUCAGGAGGAACACCAACGGCGAAGGCAUGCACUCUGGGCCGGUACUGACGCUGAGGAGCGAA
rnacentral:rRNA from 1 species